ACUCUAGUAGUUCAGUUGAUUAGAGCUUCCACUUAGUAAGCGGAGGUCUUGUGUUCGACUCUCAAUGAGAGUA
rnacentral:tRNA from 1 species